UUGUUGAACCAGGUGUUCUGGAGCCAUCGCCAAUGUCGCCAACUAUGUCAGCAUCUACACCAAUUUCUGAAUGUUUUGAAUCCAUUGUGCCGGAAUUAGAUGAUCAGAUAGAUAAUGAUCCAUUGCCAUCUACUCCAUCACCAUCUAGCUCAACAUUAUCUCCUGUUUUCUCAUUACAUGAUAUUAAGGAACCAGAUUCAAAUAAAGAGAUCAAAGUUGAUGAGACAUGAUUAUCUCCCACAAGACUAUGCAUUGACCGACCAUGAUCUAUGUGCACAUAUAGCAGUAGAAUCAUCUUUGAGUAAAGAAUUGCUGGUUCGGAUAGAUAGAAGUUAUGUGUUACAAAAUCAAUUGAUGUGCCUGCUAGAUGAAAAGGAGUGGGUAAAUGAUGAUGUGAUCUAUGCAUAUAUAUGUUGUUUAAAGGACUAAAUUCAUGUCCAGAAUGACAAUAAAGUAUAUGUUGAGAGUCCUUUUGUUACCUCACUAUUAAGACGGGAUGGUAACCUUGGCAUACAAGAAGAUAGUGCCUUUAUGACAAAUAUUGUCCAAAAAUAUAUGGAGUAUGACAUGAUAGAACUUCCAAUAAAUGCCAGCAACAUGCAUUGGUAUUUAGCUAUCGUGAAUACAAAAAAGCGUGAGAUUCAAGUACUGGACUCAUUGUGCUGGAAGUUUGUCCGAGAGGACCUUGCUAUUACGCUACGAGGAGUACAAUUUCAUUUGGAUAUUCUUAAAAGUCAAAACCUGAUUAAGGACGAUUGGAAAGACGUUGAUCUUACUGAAUGAAAGAUCACAGAACAAUUACAAACUCCAAUUCAAGAAGACAGUUUUCUUGUGGUUUAUUUACGGUCAAAUUUAUGGAAUAUUUCACCGGAUGUACACUAUCCUACCCAAUUACACAGGAAAUGAUUUUUGAGCCGUGCAUAUUGGGUUAGAGUUUGUGAUAUCCUCCCGUUGCAACGCACGG